UCCUCCGCUUAUUGAUAUGCUUAAGUUCAGCGGGUAUCCCUACCUGAUCCGAGGUCAACCUGAGAAAAAUAAGGUUGGAGACGCCGGCUGGCGCCCGGCCGGCCCUAAUCGAGCGGGUGACAAAGCCCCAUACGCUCGAGGACCGGACACGGUGCCGCCGCUGCCUUUCGGGCCCGUCCCCCGGGGGGGACGACGACCCAACACACAAGCCGGGCUUGAGGGCAGCAAUGACGCUCGGACAGGCAUGCCCCCCGGAAUGCCAGGGGGCGCAAUGUGCGUUCAAAGACUCGAUGAUUCACUGAAUUCUGCAAUUCACAUUACUUAUCGCAGUUCGCUGCGUUCUUCAUCGAUGCCGGAACCAAGAGAUCCAUUGUUGAAAGUUUUGACUGAUUUGUAUUCAGGCUCAGACUGCAUCACUCUCAGGCAUGAAGUUCAGUGGUCCCCGGCGGCUCGCCCCUGGGGGGCUCCCCGCCGAAGCAACAGUGUUAGGUAGUCACGGGUGGGAGGUUGGGCGCCCGGAGGCAGCCCGCACUCGGUAAUGAUCCUUCCGCAAGGUUCACCUACGGA
rnacentral:misc_RNA from 1 species